rnacentral:snRNA from 1 species
GUGCUCAUUUUGGCAGCACAUAUACUAAAAUUGGAACGACACAGAGUAGAUUAGCAUGGCCCCUGCGCGAGGAUGACAUGCAAAUUUGUGAAGCGUUAUAUUUUUUG